GACGGUGAUGGUGGAUCUUUAUCACUUAUAUUUGAGAGGGCCGAUCAGACAUUUGGAUAUUGGGUGGAUUUGGAGGAUGGGAGUACACCCAUGGAUGAGCCUCUUUCUUUGAAAGGUCAUCUGGGGUCGGCUUCUGACGAGAUCCAUCUUGAGGGGCUGAGUUAUGGAGAUCUAGCCAACUUGCCCAUGUUGUGGAUUGGAAGAUG
rnacentral:lncRNA from 1 species